rnacentral:lncRNA from 1 species
AUGGAGACUUAGCACCAAAAAGUUCAGAAGGUAACAAAACCUUGUCCAAUUGAUAAACAGCCAAAGGAAAUUGUUGUCUCAAUGCAUUGUUGAUAGGUACAGUAACAACUCCAGUUGAAACAUUGACUUGGUUACCUUGUGAAGUGAAGUGAAGACCCCAGUUACCUUCUUUACCAGAAGCUUGUGUUCUAACUGGGUUAGAAACUGUUAAGAAAUCGGAAAGAGAGUAGUAUUUUGGUGUAACAUGGUAGAGAAUGAGUUGAACUUUCUGUUGGUCGGAGAGGUCGUUGAUUGCUCCUGAUAUUAGACAUAAAUGUUAGUUAUACUAAUUAGUUACAUUCAAGUUAUAAUUAUAGGAGUAAAAACAUCUUAUGAACAUGUCAUACAUUAUGACAAAAGAUAAAUUUGUUUCAUAUAUAAUACUGACGCACAUACACACAUAUACCCAUCGGACAUGACACGAACACACCGAUACAGAUAAUAAUUUGAGAAAAUGUUAUAGUUUAGUGUAAUCAUAGGUGUCGUGUUAGUGUCGGUGUCGGAUACUGAUGCGUGUCCGACACAGGACACGUCUAAUCUGAAGAGUGUUUGUGCUUCAUAGUUAC